CCUACGGGGAGCAGCAGUGAGGAAUAUUGGUCAAUGGACGCAAGUCUGAUCCAGCCAUGCCGCGUGCAGGAAGACGGCUCUAUGAGUUGUAAACUGCUUUUGUACGAGGGUAAACGCAGAUACGCGUAUCUGUCUGAAAGUAUCGUACGAAUAAGGAUCGGCUAACUCCGUGCCAGCAGCCGCGGUAAUACGGAGGAUUCAAGCGUUAUCCGGAUUUAUUGGGUUUAAAGGGUGCGUAGGCGGUUGGAUAAGUUAGAGGUGAAAUCCCGGGGCUCAACUUCGGAAUUGCCUCUGAUACUGUUAGGCUAGAGAGUAGUUGCGGUAGGCGGAAUGUAUGGUGUAGCGGUGAAAUGCUUAGAGAUCAUACAGAACACCGAUUGCGAAGGCAGCUUACCAAGCUACGUCGGACGUUGAGGCACGAAAGCGUGGGGAGCAAACAGGAUUAGAUACCCCUGUAGUC
rnacentral:rRNA from 1 species